rnacentral:lncRNA from 1 species
UUCAGUGUCUCACUCAAGACAAGGCGAAGAGGCCUCUCAUAAUUGAAAGGGAAAUAAAAGGAUCAGAAUUGUAUAGGUAGUUCUAAGAAUGCCUGAGGGAACUAAGAAAGAGGAAGUGGCCCUCAGUUGCUGUUUAGAAAGCAGAUAAAGCACAAUGUGGAUAGCUUAUGCAGGAAUAACAAUUAUUUUAAAAUUAUCAUUUAGCUAAACACCAUCUUAACACACUCAUUUCCAAAAAAGACUUUCUUACUUACUUCACUGUUAAGUGAAAAUGAUUAUUACAGUCCCCAAGGAAACUUGAGUUAUUUCUAAUUUGCUAUGAUGAUAGCUAUCUCCCUAAUAUCUGUUCCUUCUUGUCAUUUCCCACUGACAGCAUCUAGUCCAGGGUUCAUGUUUCAUCAGAGAACAUCUGCGCUGCUGCAAAAGC